rnacentral:rRNA from 1 species
GAAUCAACGCUGGCGGCGUGCCUCAGACAUGCAAGUCGAACGAUUAAGACUUCCUUCGGGAAGUGCAUAAAGUGGCGCACGGGUGAGUAACACGUAAGUAAUCUACCCUCGAGUGGGGAAUAACGUUCGGAAACGGACGCUAAUACCGCAUAACGCAGCGGCACCGCAAGGUGACAGUUGUUAAAGGAGCAAUCCGCUUGAGGAGGAGCUUGCGGCAGAUUAGCUAGUUGGUAGGGUAAUGGCUUACCAAGGCUACGAUCUGUAUCCGGUCUAAGAGGACGGUCGGACACACUGACACUGAAUAACGGGUCAGACUCCUACGGGAGGCAGCAGUCGGGAAUUUUGGGCAAUGGGCGAAAGCCUGACCCAGCAACGCCGCGUGAAGGAUGAAGUAUUUCGGUAUGUAAACUUCGAAAGAAUAGGAAGAAUAAAUGACGGUACUAUUUAUAAGCUCCGGCUAACUACGUGCCAGCAGCCGCGGUAAUACGUAGGGAGCAAGCGUUGUUCGGAUUUACUGGGCGUAAAGGGCGCGUAGGCGGCGCGGUAAGUCACUUGUGAAAUCUCUGAGCUUAACUCAGAACGGCCAAGUGAUACUGCAGUGCUAGAGUGCAGAAAGGGCAAUCGGAAUUCUUGGUGUAGCGGUGAAAUGCGUAGAUAUCAAGAGGAACACCUGAGGCGAAGGCGGGUUGCUAGGCUGACACUGACGCUGAGGCGCGAAAGCCAGGGGAGCAAACGGGAUUAGAUACCCCGGUAGUCCUGGCCCUAAACGAUGAAUACUUGGUGUCUGGAGUUUCAAUACUCCGGGUGCCGUCGCUAACGUUUUAAGUAUUCCGCCUGGGGAGUACGCUCGCAAGAGUGAAACUCAAAGGAAUUGACGGGGACCCGCACAAGCGGUGGAGCAUGUGGUUUAAUUCGACGCAACGCGAAGAACCUUACCUAGACUAGAAUGUGAGGGAAUGUCGGGUAAUGCCGGCAGUCCGGGAAACCGGACCCAAAACAAGGUGCUGCAUGGCUGUCGUCAGCUCGUGUCGUGAGAUGUUGGGUUAAGUCCCGCAACGAGCGCAACCCUUAUCAACAGUUGCCAUCAUUAAGUUGGGAACUCUGUUGAGACUGCCGUUGAUAAAACGGAGGAAGGUGGGGAUGAUGUCAAGUCAUCAUGGCCUUUAUGUCCUGGGCUACACACGUGCUACAAUGGUCGGUACAGAGGGAAGCCAAGGCGCGAGCCGGAGCGAAUCCCCCAAAGCCGGCCCCAGUUCGGAUCGCAGGCUGCAACCCGCCUGCGUGAAGUAGGAAUCGCUAGUAAUCACGGGUCAGCAUACCGUGGUGAAUACGUUCCCGGGCCU